rnacentral:rRNA from 1 species
AUACGGAAGGUGCAAGCGUUAAUCGGAAUCACUGGGCGUAAAGCGCUCGUAGGUGGCUUUGUAAGUCAGGUGUGAAAGCCCACGGCUCAACCGUGGAAUUGCACUUGAUACUGCAUUGCUUGAGUUCGGGAGAGGGUAGUGGAAUUCCAGGUGUAGGAGUGAAAUCCGUAGAGAUCUGGAGGAACACCAGUGGCGAAGGCGACUACCUGGACUGUAACUGACGCUGAAGCACGAAAGCGUGGGGAGC